ACUUAAAUUGAAGAGUUUGAUCAUGGCUCAGAUUGAACGCUGGCGGCAGGCCUAACACAUGCAAGUCGAGCGGUAGCACAGAGAGCUUGCUCUCGGGUGACGAGCGGCGGACGGGUGAGUAAUGUCUGGGAAACUGCCUGAUGGAGGGGGAUAACUACUGGAAACGGUAGCUAAUACCGCAUAACGUCGCAAGACCAAAGUGGGGGACCUUCGGGCCUCAUGCCAUCAGAUGUGCCCAGAUGGGAUUAGCUAGUAGGUGGGGUAACGGCUCACCUAGGCGACGAUCCCUAGCUGGUCUGAGAGGAUGACCAGCCACACUGGAACUGAGACACGGUCCAGACUCCUACGGGAGGCAGCAGUGGGGAAUAUUGCACAAUGGGCGCAAGCCUGAUGCAGCCAUGCCGCGUGUGUGAAGAAGGCCUUCGGGUUGUAAAGCACUUUCAGCGGGGAGGAAGGCGGUGAGGUUAAUAACCUCAUCGAUUGACGUUACCCGCAGAAGAAGCACCGGCUAACUCCGUGCCAGCAGCCGCGGUAAUACGGAGGGUGCAAGCGUUAAUCGGAAUUACUGGGCGUAAAGCGCACGCAGGCGGUCUGUCAAGUCGGAUGUGAAAUCCCCGGGCUCAACCUGGGAACUGCAUUCGAAACUGGCAGGCUAGAGUCUUGUAGAGGGGGGUAGAAUUCCAGGUGUAGCGGUGAAAUGCGUAGAGAUCUGGAGGAAUACCGGUGGCGAAGGCGGCCCCCUGGACAAAGACUGACGCUCAGGUGCGAAAGCGUGGGGAGCAAACAGGAUUAGAUACCCUGGUAGUCCACGCCGUAAACGAUGUCGAUUUGGAGGUUGUGCCCUUGAGGCGUGGCUUCCGGAGCUAACGCGUUAAAUCGACCGCCUGGGGAGUACGGCCGCAAGGUUAAAACUCAAAUGAAUUGACGGGGGCCCGCACAAGCGGUGGAGCAUGUGGUUUAAUUCGAUGCAACGCGAAGAACCUUACCUGGUCUUGACAUCCACAGAACUUAGCAGAGAUGCUUUGGUGCCUUCGGGAACUGUGAGACAGGUGCUGCAUGGCUGUCGUCAGCUCGUGUUGUGAAAUGUUGGGUUAAGUCCCGCAACGAGCGCAACCCUUAUCCUUUGUUGCCAGCGGUCCGGCCGGGAACUCAAAGGAGACUGCCAGUGAUAAACUGGAGGAAGGUGGGGAUGACGUCAAGUCAUCAUGGCCCUUACGACCAGGGCUACACACGUGCUACAAUGGCAUAUACAAAGAGAAGCGACCUCGCGAGAGCAAGCGGACCUCAUAAAGUAUGUCGUAGUCCGGAUUGGAGUCUGCAACUCGACUCCAUGAAGUCGGAAUCGCUAGUAAUCGUAGAUCAGAAUGCUACGGUGAAUACGUUCCCGGGCCUUGUACACACCGCCCGUCACACCAUGGGAGUGGGUUGCAAAAGAAGUAGGUAGCUUAACCUUCGGGAGGGCGCUUACCACUUUGUGAUUCAUGACUGGGGUGAAGUCGUAACAAGGUAACCGUAGGGGAACCUGCGGUUGGAUCACCUCCUUACCUUAAAGAA
rnacentral:rRNA from 2 species